CAGUAAUACAGAUGUCUAUUUUAUUAAAAAAGUUACAAACAGGUGGACUGCAGGGUCGUCUUACAAAAUGACAAGAAUGAAAUCUAUUGGAAAAAUUUUACUUUUACAAAUCUUUAUAGGUAAUUGUUCAAUGUUUGUACUUGUUAUUUGAGAUUUUACCUUUCACUGAUAAAGUUACAGUACAUUAGAUCCAUGAUAAUAGGUUACAUUAUUUUAUUUGCAGAGCCCUACUGCAGUGAUUUGAACAACUCCUAAAUAGAUGCCAUAAUAAAGACAAGACAUAUAUUGCAUUUAAUAUUAAUUUAUUAUCCUAAUAAGCAACAUGCAAUCUAUUGAGGAAGCUAAAAUAACUUUUGGUCCCUUUUCUUAAAAUGUGCUGGAGAA
rnacentral:lncRNA from 1 species